UACGGAGGGUGCGAGCGUUAAUCGGAAUUACUGGGCGUAAAGGGUGCGUAGGUGGUUGAUUAAGUUAUCUGUGAAAUUCCUGGGCUUAACCUGGGAUGGUCAGAUAAUACUGGUUGACUCGAGUAUGGGAGAGGGUAGUGGAAUUUCCGGUGUAGCGGUGAAAUGCGUAGAGAUCGGAAGGAACACCAGUGGCGAAGGCGGCUUCCUGGCCUAAUACUGACAAUGAGGCCCGAAAGCGUGGGGAGAAAACAGG
rnacentral:rRNA from 1 species